AAGAAACCCUAUAGGGAACCCCACAGACCCCAAAGGAAACCCCAUAGAUCCCAUUAACCCAUAGGACACCCCAUAGGGAACCCCACAGACCCCAUAGGAAACCCCACAGCCCCCAUUACCCCAUAAGAAACCCUGUAGGGAACCCCACAGACCCCAUAGGAAACCCCAUAGCCGCCAUUACCCCAUACAAAACCCCAUAGGGAACCCCACAGCAAACCCCAUAGAUCCCAUUACCCCACAGGAAACCCCAUAAGAAACCCCACAGACCCCAUAGGAAACUCCAUAGCUGCCAUUACCCCAUACGAAACCCCAUAGGGAACCCCACAGCAAAGCCCAUAGAUCCCAUUACCCCAUAGGAAACCCCAUAGGGAACCCCACAGACCCCAUAGGAAACCCCAUAGCUGCCAUUACCCCAUAGGAUACCCCAUAGGGAACCCCACAGACCCCACAGGAAACCCCAUAGGGAACCCCACACAUCCCAUAGCCCCCAUUACCCCAUAGGAAACCCCAUAGGGAACCCCACAGACCCCAUAGCAAACCCCAUAGACCCCAUUACCCCAUAGGAUACCCCAUAGGGAACCCCACAGACCCCAUAGCAAACCCCAUAGAUCCCAAUACCCCACAGGAAACCCCAUAGGGAAUCCCACAGACCCCACAGCAAACCCCAUAGAUCCCAUAACCCCAUAGGGAACCCCAUAGGGAACCCCACAGACCCCAUUGGAAACCCCAUAGACCCCAUUACCCCACAGGAAACCCCAUAGGGAAUCUCACAGACCCCACAGCAAACCCCAUAGAUCCCAUAACCCCAUAGGGAACCCCAUAGGAAACCCCACAGACCCCAUAGCAAACCCUGUAGGGAACCCCACAGACCCCAUAGGAAACCCCAUAGAUCCCAUAACCCCAUAGGAAACUCCAUAGGGAACCCCACACAUCCCAUAGCCCCCAUUACCCCAUAGGGAACCCCACAGACCCCAUAGGAAACCCCAUAGAUCCCAUUACCCCACAGGAAACCCCAUAGGGAAUCCCACAGACCCCACAGCAAACCCCAUAGAUCCCAUAACCCCAUAGGGAACCCCAUAGGGAACCCCACGGACCCCAUAGGAAACCCCAUAGACCCCAUUACCCCACAGGAAACCCCAUAGGGAAUCUCACAGACCCCACAGCAAACCCCAUAGAUCCCAUA
ensembl:lncRNA